GACGAACACUGGCGGCGUGCUUAACACAUGCAAGUCGAACGGAAAGGCCCUGCUUUUGUGGGGUGCUCGAGUGGCGAACGGGUGAGUAACACGUGAGUAACCUGCCCUUGACUUUGGGAUAACUUCAGGAAACUGGGGCUAAUACCGGAUAGGAGCUCCUGCUGCAUGGUGGGGGUUGGAAAGUUUCGGCGGUUGGGGAUGGACUCGCGGCUUAUCGGCUUGUUGGUGGGGUAGUGGCUUACCAAGGCUUUGACGGGUAGCCGGCCUGAGAGGGUGACCGGCCACAUUGGGACUGAGAUACGGCCCAGACUCCUACGGGAGGCAGCAGUGGGGAAUAUUGCACAAUGGGCGGAAGCCUGAUGCAGCAACGCCGCGUGCGGGAUGACGGCCUUCGGGUUGUAAACCGCUUUCGCCUGUGACGAAGCGUGAGUGACGGUAAUGGGUAAAGAAGCACCGGCUAACUACGUG
rnacentral:rRNA from 1 species